rnacentral:misc_RNA from 1 species
GAUGAAGAACGUAGCGAAAUGCGAUAAGUAAUGUGAAUUGCAGAAUUCCGUGAAUCAUCGAAUCUUUGAACGCACAUUGCGCCCCCUGGUAUUCCGGGGGGCAUGCCUGUCCGAGCGUCAUUGCAACCCUCAAGCGCGGCUUGUGUGUUGGGCUUCGUCCCCCCGUGGACGUGCCCGAAAGGCAGUGGCGGCGUCCCGAAUGGUGCCCGAGCGUAUGGGAACUCUCUUCCGCUCGAACCGGCCCAUUCGGCGCUGGUCGAACCCCACUUUUUUUUUACCGGUUGACCUCGGAUCAGGUAGGGAUACCCGCUGAACUUAAGCAUAUCAAUAAGCGGAGGA